UACGGGGGGGGUAAGCGUUGUUCGGAAUUACUGGGCGUAAAGGGCUCGUAGGCGGCCAACUAAGUCAGACGUGAAAUCCCUCAGCUUAACUGGGGAACUGCGUCUGAUACUGGAUGGCUUGGAUUUGGGAGAGGGAUGCGGAAUUCCAGGUGUAGCGGUGAAAUGCGUAGAUAUCUGGAGGAACACCGGUGGCGAAGGCGGCAUCCUGGACCAACAUUGACGCUGAGGAGCGAAAGCGUGGGGAGCAAACAGG
rnacentral:rRNA from 1 species